UACGUAGGGUGCGAGCGUUGUCCGGAAUUAUUGGGCGUAAAGAGCUUGUAGGCGGUUUGUCGCGUCUGCUGUGAAAUUUCGGGGCUCAACCCCGAACUUGCAGUGGGUACGGGCAGACUAGAGUGUGGUAGGGGAGACUGGAAUUCCUGGUGUAGCGGUGAAAUGCGCAGAUAUCAGGAGGAACACCGAUGGCGAAGGCAGGUCUCUGGGCAUUAACUGACGCUGAGGAGCGAAAGCGUGGGGAGCGAACAGG
rnacentral:rRNA from 1 species